ensembl:lncRNA
AUUUCACUUAUGUGGCAGUUUGGAACUAUUCUGUAGGUUAAAGAUAGCUCUACAAGGCCAGGUCUUCUUGGUCUUUAGAUGAAAUCCAUCAUUCAGUUUCAUUGCUAGAAAACCCACUACUACUUAACAAAUCAGAUACCACCUGAAAUCCUGUGGUCAGUUCUGGAUUCCUUUGGAGAACAUUUUAGGAGUGGCAAAGUAAAUUGGACUCCACAGCGGGUAUGAGGAUGGAGAUAAGACCUUGGAUCCAUAUGGCAAAAGAGCCUCGAGAUGUUCAUCUAGAAUCAAGCCAAUCAAGAGGGAGUCAUUAUAACCACCUUUAAAUAAAGAACUGUUCUACAUAAUUAAAAUAAAUAAAUAAAUAAAAAUCUCAGGC